rnacentral:rRNA from 1 species
AUUGAACGCUGGCGGCAUGCUUUACACAUGCAAGUCGAACGGCAGCGCGGGCUUCGGCCUGGCGGCGAGUGGCGAACGGGUGAGUAAUACAUCGGAACGUGCCCAGUAGUGGGGGAUAGCUCGGCGAAAGCCGGAUUAAUACCGCAUACGACCUGAGGGUGAAAGCGGGGGAUCUUCGGACCUCGCGCUAUUGGAGCGGCCGAUGGCAGAUUAGCUAGUUGGUGGGGUAAAGGCCUACCAAGGCGACGAUCUGUAGCUGGUCUGAGAGGACGACCAGCCACACUGGGACUGAGACACGGCCCAGACUCCUACGGGAGGCAGCAGUGGGGAAUUGUGGACAAGGGGCGAAAGCCUGAUCCAGCAAUGCCGCGUGUGAUGAAGGCCUUCGGGUUGUAAAGCACUUUUGGCGGGAACGAAAAGGACUGUGCCAAUACCACGGUUCGAUGACGGUACCCGCAGAAUAAGCACCGGCUAACUACGUG